GACGAACGCUGGCGGCGUGCCUAACACAUGCAAGUCGAGCGGUGAAGCCUGGUUCUUGUUCCGACUGGAUGAGCCGCGAACGGGUGAGUAACGCGUGGGGAGUCUGCCUUUGGGCGGGGGACAACAUUUGGGAACGAGUGCUAAUACCGCAUAAAAGCUUGAAACGCAGGGUUGAGGCUGGAAUGAUGCAAGUGCAUCACGUAAAGAUGAUCGCGCGUUGUGUUUGUUAGUUGGUGAGGGCAAGGAUCACCAAGGCGAUGGUGCAUAGCCGACCUGCGGGGGUGAUCGGCCACAUUGGGACUGGGACAAGGCCCAAACCCCUACGGGAGGCAGCAGUAGGGAAUCUUCGGCAAUGGACGAAAGUCUGACCGAGCAACGCCGCGUGAGUGAAGGAGGGUUUCGGGUCGUAAAACUCUGUUGGUAGAGAAGAACGUGGGUGAGAGUGGAAAGCUCAUGAAGUGACGGUAACUACCCAGAAAGGGACGGCUAACUACGUG
rnacentral:rRNA from 1 species